GCCCGGGUGGUGGAAUUGGUAGACACAGGAGACUUAAAAUCUCCCGAUCGAAAGGUCAUGCGGGUUCAAGUCCCGCACCGGGCACCA
rnacentral:tRNA from 1 species